GUAUCCGUUAAUGUAUCCGAGAGGAAGCUUCCUCGUAUUUGAAUCACUUAUGGAGCCAAAAAUUCGUUAGAAAAACAAAUGUAGACGUAGUUUAAUAUUAAUUCUUGGGUUUCUUUGUUUGGCCGUGGAGUUGAAGAGAGAAUCUUUAUUUCUGUGUAAACUCACAGUAAUUUACGGUGAUUUUCGAGAUGAAUCUUGCAAGCAUAGCUGAACGAACGGUCCUUGGUGGAAAGAAAUGAAAUUAAGAAAUUGUCAUGCAACAAGCCAUACUUUGAAAUGACAGUAUGUGUAAUAUUUUUGUAUAAAAGGCUAACCAUCGUGACGACGACUGACUACUUAAAAUCUGGUAGAUUGCUUUUUCUUCUAGGUUUUCAGAAGUUAUUAUUGACUAUGCUGUUAUUUCUGACAAUUUGCGGAUAUUGCCACUCCAUGUAGCGUAAGCUUGCUUGGGGUAAACUGUUAACACGAUUUUAUUCAAAACUGUUGAAAUAAAAAUUGUUUAUACUAUUAGAUUAUGCUAUACUUAUGGAUUGUUACCCUUGUAGAUUAUGUUAUAAUAUCAUCAAUAAGAGACUUUCUAGCGAUAUGUAUUAUUCACAUAUCUGUAGCCGUAUUUUUGUUUGGCGCUAUGAUACAGUUUUUGAUAUACGUAUAAUUAAGUACGACCGAAAAUUAGAAUGGGUGUCAUAUUUUUAUUAUUUUAAAGUAUUUUCUGUUAAGCAGAAACGGUAGCUUGCUGACCAUUUACCUCAAAAUGUUUGGAAAGUUACCAAAACUCAAAAGAUAGCAAUUUAUCACUUGCUUUUAGCCCUAGGAAAAAUUACCAUUUAGCAUAAGCAUUUGUUAUUAGAGUGGCUCAUAAAAAAACUGAAAGAAAGGCACUUUUUAUGAACCAUUAACCGGUAACACUUUUGUAGAACUCAUUUUUGUGUUUUUCCCAUGAUAGACGUCGCCGUUAGUAAAUUGAAUUAAUUCCUCUAAAAUGUCAGGUAUUUUGAACCUUGCAUGAUUUAUUUUAAGGAAGAAGUUAAGUCACACGCAGUUACAGCUGUCUAGCCUUACUGCAGAGUAUGUCUGGAAACUGAUUCAUGGUUUCUUAGCUAUUUUAUGUUGUUUAAAGCAAAAGAAUAGUAAUUGCAAAUAGUAAAAUUAAGACAAGUAUAUGCACCAAUAUAUAGUCAUGUUUUAUUGCAGCUUUCAUGCAUUUUAUUCUCAACCGUCGUAUUUGUUGUUCAUAUGAGACACUGAUUUAAAAUGAGUCCUGUAUAAAUUCAAUUAUCUAAUAUAUAUUUAUUAUACUUUUUUCAAGAAUCCAAAUCUGUCUAGGGAAUAACAGUCUAAACGUAAAAAAAAAAAAAAAAAAAAAAAAAAAAAAAAAAAAAAAAAAAUAUUUAC